UGGGGAAUAUUGGACAAUGGGCGCAAGCCUGAUCCAGCCAUGCCGCGUGAGUGAUGAAGGCCCCAGGGUUGUAAAGCUCUUUCACCGGCGAAGAUAAUGACGGUAACCGGAGAAGAAUCCCCGGCUAACUUCGUGCCAGCAGCCGCGGUAAUACGAAGGGGGCUAGCGUUGUUCGGAUUUACUGGGCGUAAAGCGCACGUAGGCGGACUUUUAAGUCAGGGGUGAAAUCCCGGGGCUCAACCCCGGAACUGCCUUUGAUACUGGAAGUCUUGAGUAUGGUAGAGGUGAGUGGAAUUCCGAGUGUAGAGGUGAAAUUCGUAGAUAUUCGGAGGAACACCAGUGGCGAAGGCGGCUCACUGGACCAUUACUGACGCUGAGGUGCGAAAGCGUGGGGAGCAAACAGG
rnacentral:rRNA from 1 species